GCUCGGACUCUUGCUUCCUGUUGCUUUGAGGCAGAGCCGUGUGCCUCAUAGGAUGGCUAAGAACUUGGCAGACUCCAAGAAAGCCUUAGGACUUGGGUCUCUGUGGACAUCUCUGCAGCUGGGAUUACACACAGGCUUGCGUGACACCAGCCUGGGGUCUCCAGUCUUUAAGGCCAGCUCCACUGAGCUCCAUUCCCCAGGGUUUCUCUGUGUAACAGCCCUGCCUGUCUGGAACUUGCUUUGUAAACUAGGCUGGCUAGAGAUCCUCUUGCUUCUGCCUCUGGAUUAAACUCCGCUGGGAUUAAAGGCGUCGGCUACCACAACUGGACAAUAACCGGAUGAAGGUUCUUGGCUGAAAACGUAAUGAAGUGGAAACACGUCCACCCUGAUCAUCAGGGUGGUCUGUGCUCAAUGGAGACCACCACCUGUGCAGCCUUGUGCAGCCCUUCACCUCGAGCUUGCUCGCUCUUUUUGGACCCUGACUCUUCUGCAUCUCCAUCCUCCUGGCACUGGCAAGCUUCCAGCAAGCUUGCCCUGUUUUUCUUUCAAGACUGCAAUACAAUGGCCCUCAAGC
rnacentral:lncRNA from 1 species